UACGUAGGGAACAAGCGUUGUCCGGAUUUACUGGGCGUAAAGGGCACGCAGGCGGUUUUUUAAGUCAGAUGUGAAAGGCCACAGCUCAACUGUGGACAUGCAUUUGAAACUGAAAGACUUGAGUAUUGGAGAGGCAAGUGGAAUUCCUAGUGUAGCGGUGAAAUGCGUAGAUAUUAGGAGGAACACCGGUGGCGAAGGCGGCUUGCUGGACAAAUACUGACGCUGAGGUGCGAAAGCGUGGGGAGCAAACAGG
rnacentral:rRNA from 1 species